rnacentral:lncRNA from 1 species
UGACAUGAACUAACAUUUUUCGAGUUGACAUCCCUCAAGAUAAAUGAUGCCAGGAGGCGUCUGUGCAAACAUCCUGACCCGCAGCUUGUUGUGAGUCUUGCUUGUUCCCGGUGCCUUCGCCACACUGCUUGGCCUGCUCCCAAGAAUGAAUGGCUAAUCUGUUCUACUUGCUCCUGUACCCAGGCAACUCACUCAACACCAGGCUCACAGAGGGUCUUCGGAGAUUGUUGCUCCAAGGGUGAGCAAGUGCAUGAGCACCCCACAAGCAUUAUCAUCCUUUUGAACUGGAAAAUCUCCUGGAGGCCAAAUUCAGCAUUAAGAGACACAGGACAUGAGUUUCUGAAAGCUCAUCUGUAUCCCUGCUCAUGCCAGGCCCAGCAGGCUAGAGUGUGGAUGCUGUGUGAGGAAGCUGUUUCCUGUCCCCGCAGGGACAUACUGCUGGGCACUGAAUCUCCAGUCUCAGCUAUUAAAGGAAUUAAAGUUCCCAGGGAAGAGAAAAGAUCCAGGAAACCCUUCAGGACCAAAGUAUUUUUUGGAUAACUCCUUAAAGGCAUUUCCUGUACAGGUAGCCAUUUCCUUUUCUUUUAUCUUUUUAUUACCAUAUAUUAAUUGCACAUAAUAUUGAAUUUUAUUAUGGCAUUUCCAUAUAUAUAUAUAUAUAUAUAUAUUCACACACACACACACACACACACACACACACACACACACACUUAUU